rnacentral:rRNA from 1 species
UGCAGAAUCCCGUGAACCAUCGAGUCUUUGAACGCAAGUUGCGCCCGAGGCCAUCCGGCUGAGUGCACGCCUGCCUGGGCGUCACGC